rnacentral:rRNA from 1 species
AGAGUUUGAUCCUGGCUCAGAACGAACGUUGGCGGCGUGGAUUAGGCAUGCAAGUCGAGCGAAUCCCAGCAAUGGGGGAAGCGGCGAAAGGGGCAGUAAGGCAUGGGUAACCUACCCUGGGGACUGGAAUAGCCCUUCGAGAGAAGGGGUAAUGCCGGGCGAUGUGAUUGGCUGGCAUCAGUUGAUCACCAAAUGAGUUUCGCCCUGGGAGGGGCCCAUGUGAUAUUAGCUAGUUGGUGAGGUAACGGCUCACCAAGGCGAAGAUGUCUAGCGGGUGUGAGAGCACGACCCGCGCCACUGGCACUGAGACACUGGCCAGACACCUACGGGUGGCUGCAGUCGAGGAUCUUCGGCAAUGGGCGCAAGCCUGACCGAGCGACGCCGCGUGUGCGAUGAAGGCCUUCGGGUUGUAAAGCACUGUCGAGGGGGAGAAAAGCCGAAAGGUUUGAUCUAUCCCUGGAGGAAGCACGGGCUAAGUUCGUGCCAGCAGCCGCGGUAAGACGAACCGUGCGAACGUUGUUCGGAAUCACUGGGCUUAAAGGGCGCGUAGGCGGGUCGCCAAGUUUGGGGUGAAAUCCUCCGGCUCAACCGGAGAACUGCCUCAAAUACUGGCGAUCUCGAGGGGGAUAGGGGCAUGCGGAACUACGGGUGGAGCGGUGAAAUGCGUUGAUAUCCGUAGGAACUCCGGUGGCGAGGGCGGCGUGCUGGAUCC